rnacentral:lncRNA from 10 species
GCGAUUCCUUCGGGCGAUGCUGGGGGCUUUCCGGUCGGGGCCGCAGCCGCUUCCGGAGCCGCGGGCGAGGUGCAAGCGGUCUUCUCUGUCUUCUUUAUGGCCAGUAAAAUUCUCCAGAAGAGAUUUAUGGCAGCCUCACUCCCAGUAGUUUCUGCAUUUAGUGAGAUAAGGAAUGGAUUUUCUUCUGUGUAUUGCUGACACGAACAGGAGACGGAAAUACUGAGUAGAAGAGGGCGGUUCCCUGGCUAAGGCCCCACCCUCAAGCCUGGAUACCCGCGGCCCUAAAUGAGAAGAGGCGUUUCUGUUUGGGGCCCAAAAAGUUGCUUUUUGACCCACCACGCCCCCUAUCCUGCCCCCAUAUAAACCCCAAACCCCAACCUCCAGAGCAUACCAGCAGGUGAGGAGAUACGAGGCAAGCCGACUGACGGCAAAACGACGUAGCAGAGAAAGAGAGAAGAGGAGGGACGUCUGGACACCGAGAGAUGUUUGGCUCGGGGCAGUCAGAGCGGAGUCCAGCCCCUGGGCGGCCCAACUCCAGGGGAAGAUCACCUUCCCACUUCAUCCAUCCCCACCCUUCCAGCUCCCCAUCCAUCCUGCUGAAAGCCAUUUCCACCACUCAAUAAAACCUCGCAUUCAUCCUUCAAGUCCGUGUGUGACCCGAUUUUUCCUGGAUUCUGGAAAAGAGCUCGGAAUACAGAAAGCUGUCCCCUGGUCCUUUGCCCUUGUGAAAAAGCAGAAGGUCCAUUGAGCUGGUUAACACUCCAGCUGUCUGUGGUGGCCAAGCUGAAAGAGCUUUGUAACACUGGGGUUGCAGGCACCCACCUCUAGACGCUACCGCAGAGCCAGAGCCCAAAGCCCUCACCCCGGCCUCUGCACUUGCCCAUCUGCGUGCUCCCCCUCUCGCAAGGGGUUUCUGCAGAGGGGGCUACUGAACAGGUGAGCCACACCCCUGUCGCACGCCCUGCAAGGGGAAUCAGGGAACUCUUCCGUUUCAUUGCUUUGAC